rnacentral:rRNA from 1 species
UACAGAGGGGGCAAGCGUUGUUCGGAAUUACUGGGCGUAAAGGGCGCGUAGGCGGCCUUCUAAGUCAUGCGUGAAAUCCCCGGGCUCAACCCGGGAACUGCGUCUGAUACUGGAAGGCUUGAAUCCGGGAGAGGGAUGCGGAAUUCCAGGUGUAGCGGUGAAACGCGUAGAUAUCUGGAGGAACACCGGUGGCGAAGGCGGCAUCCUGGACCAACACUGACGCUGAGUGAGCGAAAGCCAGGGGGGCAAACGGG